UUACGGAAAACGGGUACUAACACAGGUCCUUCCUAAAAGCGAAGUGGCAUAGCGGGAACUUUCGAAAAGCGGAGGAUACCUGUAAUUGCUCUCCUUUUUGGCUGCCUAAUAUUCACCACCCCCCAGCACACACACACACACACACGCGUGCGCGCACACACACACAUUUGUGUGUGUGACAACAGUUCCUAAUGUCCUUAUGAGGAAUUACCUAUCUCCAAUAGCAAGUGGUUUUAUUGGAACUGUCAAUGCAGUUGCCAGGGAGUGAGCCCAUAACGCCAAGGUAGGCCAGCUGAACUCAGGGCUUUGAACUUGAUCAGAAAUGGAACAAAAUAUAAAACACCAGAAAAAGGCAUACCCACAUUCCUUCUAUCAUCAUCUCCUAGUGAGGCCAUUGAAACAUUCCUGCUUCCAGACCCCUGGUGCCCUGAAUAUCUGUCCUUUGAUGAGCCUGUUCUCCAGUCCUUCCCAUCGAUUCUGUCCCCAGAGUUGUAGCCAUGAACAAAUAACACAGUUCUGGGGCGGGGCACGCAGCCCACUUUACAGCAGGAGAGACAGAGUCCCCGCUCCCAGCAGGGCCAGGUCCUGAAUGAAGUCACCGGGCCACUUCGAAGAGGCCUUUGCAAGACUUUCAAAAUUGAGCUGUUCCCAGCACACAGACCAGGGCUGAAAAUGCAAAAUUUGCUGGAUGAAUCCAAGCCUCUCCAAGCAGACUCCCAGCCAAGAGUCGAGAGGUUCACUUCUUCCUGCACCUCGGUGACAGGCAAAUGCAGGCCACCCCUUGGGAAGGAACCUGGGCAUGAUAUCAAGGUGGAGAAGUGUUGUUAUCCUAAUGAUGUUGAGGACAAACCCAUAUGUCAGCACCGCAGGAACAGCCGGGGUCCCAGGAACUGAGCAGUCCUGGCCCCACAGGAGUGGAAUUUGCUACCAAAGCCCUGACUGUAAAAGCUGCAUCAAGCAAGGCAAGAGCAGAACCAGAGCUAUACAGGGAUGUGAGCCCUGAGGUUGGCGGAGCCAGUGCUGACCCCUCGUGAGGGCUGUGGGCUGGGUUGCAUUAUCUUUGGAGGGCAGGAGAGGUUUUUCCUUUGCUUUUGGGUCCCCCUAGUGGAACACUGGCUGGGUCUCCUUAAAGGAGGUGUGU